rnacentral:rRNA from 1 species
AACGAGCGAGAGAGAGCUUGCUUUCUCGAGCGAGUGGCGAACGGGUGAGUAACGCGUGAGGAACCUGCCUCAAAGAGGGGGACAACAGUUGGAAACGACUGCUAAUACCGCAUAAGCCCACAGCUCGGCAUCGAGCAGAGGGAAAAGGAGUGAUCCGCUUUGAGAUGGCCUCGCGUCCGAUUAGCUAGUUGGUGAGGUAACGGCCCACCAAGGCGACGAUCGGUAGCCGGACUGAGAGGUUGAACGGCCACAUUGGGACUGAGACACGGCCCAGACUCCUACGGGAGGCAGUAGUGGGGAAUAUUGCACAAUGGGGGAAACCCUGAUGCAGCGACGCCGCGUGGAGGAAGAAGGUCUUCGGAUUGUAAACUCCUGUUGUUGAGGAAGAUAAUGACGGUACUCAACAAGGAAGUGACGGCUAACUACGUGCCAGCAGCCGCGGUAAAACGUAGGUCACAAGCGUUGUCCGGAAUUACUGGGUGUAAAGGGAGCGCAGGCGGGAAGACAAGUUGGAAGUGAAAUCCAUGGGCUCAACCCAUGAACUGCUUUCAAAACUGUUUUUCUUGAGUAGUGCAGAGGUAGGCGGAAUUCCCGGUGUAGCGGUGGAAUGCGUAGAUAUCGGGAGGAACACCAGUGGCGAAGGCGGCCUACUGGG